ensembl:lncRNA
CUCCCUGUCUCAAUAGGUAAAAUGUCAGACAUCAUUGGCUCAGAGAUUGCUUAAGAAAUAGCACAAUAACAUUAAAUGUUUUGUCAAGGACCAGUGGAUUGUAAAUGCUAUGACAUAAUGCUCCUUCACUAGUAGGUAUAGCGGAACUGUGGAUUGAGGGGUGUACUCCCAAAUCAAAUAGCAUGUCUGAAUUAGAUGAAUGCAGACAUACGGCUUGAGCUCUGCUCUGUUCUUACCCUUGAGCUACUGACACUGUUAACAUCGUGUCUCCAUAGUUGUCGCUGCCAAAAACACUGAAUAAUAUCACUGUUAGCAGAGUCAGAUCAGUUUACCUCCUUGUGUCCAUAUCCUACGUGGGUACAGGUGAGUUGGGUGGAGAGAGAGGACACUGAAGCACAUGGAUUCAUAAAGACACGUGGCCAUCAACCAAUCAGGUGGUCAGUUGAUUGCCACCUCUCAGCCUACAGUAAGUACUGGACGUACUGUCACUGGGGAAAAGAUCACACACACAGUGGGAAACUAACUCAUGACAGAAAAACCCACACAGAACUCGAGCACAAGUUAACAGCUUUACUGGACAGUGGCAAUUAUACAACACUUCACUGUACACGGCGUCGUCACAAGUCAGGCUUUGUACACUUGAUGCUCCACGGUGCUUGGGGAGCUACAUGUCCCACAGUGGAACUAUAAAUAUGGCAUUUGCAAAACGAUUUACUUUUUUGCAACCCUUAAUGAUGUUUUUUACACUGCUGAAACGCAGCUGUGCAAGAGAGUGUGUGUGGGAUUGGGCAAUGGAGGGGAGGCCAAGAAAAUGUAUUUAUUGUUGACCGGAUUGGUUUGCACAAGCUAGUUAACAGCUUUUAUUAGUGCUGUUUGUAUCAGUGAAUGCAAUGAAUGGGACCCGAAAGGGACCUGAAAUGUGUUAGGUAGGGUGUAUAUAAUGAGGCACUUUAUGUGUUGGUCAGUUUGUUUCGUUGUCUUCUCCACUUGGUAAUGGUAAAUGAGGGUAUAUGGCUUGUGAUUGCUCUUUUGUAUAUGGCUUGUGAUAACUCUUUGUGCCCCCGCAGUCACUUCAUCAUAACGUGGUGUGUGUUUAUGAUCUACAGUAGCUUUUUUCCCUGAUGGGAACUAAACCUCUAAAGAUAACAUCCACUAUUUUUCCAUUCAGUGUUCACUUCCUCAUAAAUAUUCUAGAAUAAAAUCUAAUAUUUACUACAUAUUUAAUCAUAUUAAUAGCGUAGAUGUGUCUUUGAAACAUCAGAUCCUCUACAUACUACAGCCUUCAUCCUUAAAAAACUUUGAUUUGAACACUUUAUGCUCUUUUCUGUCUUUUGUUAAGUGCCUCCACUGAGUGGUUUCCCUGUCAUUGCUGUCAGACUACAUUCAUAAAAAGACGAUAGUAGUUCUAAAAGAGAUGAUAGGUGUAGAGGAAAUCUGUGGUUGGAAUCAAUGACCUCUCCUUGACCUUGUGUCCUUCCGAAGGCCUUACUACAGUAUAUAUGCUGAGUUACAGUAUCAGAUAUGUCCAAAAAUGUAGUAUCGUAAUGCAAGGACCACACACUGUUGUCCAGGUUACCAAGUCUUUUGUUACUAUUCAGCAAAUUGAUCCAAGAUAAGAAUUGUUUGUCUGAAUAAGUAUGCACUCUUGCUUUAAUCAACUAAAAUAUUUGUAAUAUACAUGCCCAUAGUUUUGAAACUAGUUAAUAGUUUAGUUAUUAAUGGGCAAAACCGAACCUAAAUCAUGGCAAAAACUGCAUAUGCGUCCAACAAGUAGCUUUACGAGCUUGUUGUUGCCAUCGCAUACAAAUAAUAUGGGACCAAAUACAAAACCUUUGACUAAUACACUAUUAAGAUGAUUAAUCUAGAAUGUUCACAUACUUUUCAGACUAAUUAGUGUUGCAUCAAUUUGCUCAGUAGAUAAUGGAAAAAAAUACAAUGUUUUAUUUUAUUUGUUUUAUCAUGUUUACUUAGAUGAUGAUCUGUUAAAUUUUUUGUUCAAAUGUCUGCAGAAAUACCGUAAAUGCAAAUGUUCUCUCACCCCUGUAGGUGAAUUAAAGUGAUGACGCUACAUUCAUAUAUACAUAAAUGAUUGUCACAUUCUGCAGUAAUAAUGUAUUGUAAUAAAAUUAUGAUUAGAUAUGUAAUUUAAGUGUGAGGAAAGGCACAAACAUUAUGUACUUACAGUGAUCAUGAGGUACAACUUCUAAACACAGGUUGAAGUUGUAAAAAUUUUUUUUUGAAGAAAAUAUAAUAUGGGUUGUUACACAAAUUUUGCAUUUGUUUAAUAUUGUUAGCAGAAAUUGUGCACUAGUGGUGAAUUAAAUGCAUGCUAUAUUAAAGGUGCCCUUUAAUAUAGACCACCUGGGUUGUUUAUAACAUGUAUCUCAAUUCUAAGAUGUUUUCCUCUAAUUUAAAUUUUCCGAGUUGAUCUAAUUGGUCAAAUUUGUACAAAUAUUAGUAAAAACAUAAAUCGGGCCCCUGUGUAAAAACAGCCAUCCCUUUACCCCCAUGACAUUUUGUUGAAGUUAUUCGUGAAGAUUAAUAUUUAUUUCAUGUGAUCAGUGAUUCAUUCACAUUUGUCCCAUUUUUAGGUCAAUCCUGUUUCAAAAAACAUUUUGCAUCUAUUUGCCAAACCAUGAGAGAAGAUAUAAAAUCUGAGUAACUGGCAUUACUCUUCUUAGAAAUGUUCUGUUGUUUUGGGUUGAAUAACUGAGUCAAGCAUAUCAACCCUUUUACCCACAGAAAGGCUAGCUGCUAUCCUACUCCUUGACUUUCUUUGUCAUCGACUGUGUUACCGUCCACCCUGUUCACUUAUCAGGCACUUACCCUGGGUUUCUUCAUUGUUAACCGGUGAGACAGGAAGAACUUUUUCCCCAUGAAGUUAACCACGUGGUCUUUAUGACAGAAUGUUCAAAUUAGGUCAAAUCAAGUAGAUACUUUACCUAGUUCAACUUCUCAAAAGGCCCUGAAUUGGUGUAACAACCCAUAUGUUAUAUACAC